rnacentral:rRNA from 1 species
GCCUUCGGGUUGUAAACCACUGUCGGGAGUUAAGAAAGGUAAGGAUGUUAAGAGCGUCCUUAUUUGACGAAAGCUCCGGAGGAAGCCACGGCUAAAUAUGUGCCAGCAGCCGCGGUAAUACAGAGGUGGCAAGCGUUGUUCGGAAUUAUUGGGCGUAAAGCGCAUGUAGGCGGCUUUGCAAGUCAACGGUGAAAUCCUUCUGCUCAACGGAAGAACGGCAGUUGAUACUACAGGGCUAGAGUGCGGGAGGGGAGAGUGGAACUUCUGGUGGAGCGGUGAAAUGCGUAGUAUAUCAGAAGGAACAUCGGCGGCGAAAGCGACUCUCUGGUCCGUAACUGACGCUGAGGUGCGAAAAAAAGUGAACUAAAAGCCAU